AUAAUGGGUCAGCGACUUAUAUUCUGUAGCAAGGUUAACCGAAUAGGGGAGCCGAAGGGAAACCGAGUCUUAACUGGGCGUUAAGUUGCAGGGUAUAGACCCGAAACCCGGUGAUCUAGCCAUGGGCAGGUUGAAGGUUGGGUAACACUAACUGGAGGACCGAACCGACUAAUGUUGAAAAAUUAGCGGAUGACUUGUGGCUGGGGGUGAAAGGCCAAUCAAACCGGGAGAUAGCUGGUUCUCCCCGAAAGCUAUUUAGGUAGCGCCUCGUGAAUUCAUCUCCGGGGGUAGAGCACUGUUUCGGCAAGGGGGUCAUCCCGACUUACCAACCCGAUGCAAACUGCGAAUACCGGAGAAUGUUAUCACGGGAGACACACGGCGGGUGCUAACGUCCGUCGUGAAGAGGGAAACAACCCAGACCGCCAGCUAAGGUCCCAAAGUCAUGGUUAAGUGGGAAACGAUGUGGGAAGGCCCAGACAGCCAGGAUGUUGGCUUAGAAGCAGCCAUCAUUUAAAGAAAGCGUAAUAGCUCACUGGUCGAGUCGGCCUGCGCGGAAGAUGUAACGGGGCUAAACCAUGCACCGAAGCUGCGGCAGCGACGCUGAUGCGUUGUUGGGUAGGGGAGCGUUCUGUAAGCCUGUG
rnacentral:rRNA from 1 species